CCCCCCCCCCCCCCCUCUUUCUUUUUUUCUUUUGUCGCUGCUUUCCCUCUCUCCGGCGAUUCCGUCGCCGUCCGGCCACCCCAGGACGAAAGCUUGGGCACGGCGUGAUCCUCGCUUCCUUCUCCUUCUAGCCAUGACGUACUGAGCCCUCGAGCGAGGAGGACACAGGCAGGCAGCAGGGUUAGCUGCGGGACUCACUUAUUUCAGAUUAGCAGAGAUCGCGUCUAGGCUCAAGGACUUGGAAAUCAGCGCUUCCGUUUUUUGUCCGUAGGUUAUUACUUAACCUACCUUGUAUGAUAUCGGCUUAGUUUAGUGUUGCUCUG